UCCCUCUUACAAGGGCAGUUUGUCAUGAGUUCCCGACAUUACUCGCUGGCAACAUAACAUGAGGGUUGCGCUCGUUGCGGGACUUAACCCAACAUUUCACAACACGAGCUGACGACAGCCAUGCACCACCUGUGACACACCCUCGAAGGCGGCUCCGUUUCGGGAGCUUGCAGUGUCAUGUCAAGCCUGGGUAAGGUUCUUCGCGUUGCAUCGAAUUAAGCAAUAUGCUCCACCGCUUGUGCGGGCCCCCGCCAAUUCCUUUGAGUUUCAACCUUGCGGCCGUAGUCCCCAGGCGGAUCACUUAAUGCGUUAGCUGCGGCACCGAGGGAAACCCCCCGACACCUAGUGAUCAUAGUUUAGGGCCAAGACUAC
rnacentral:misc_RNA from 1 species